UUAAAUCAAGCUGAAACACCGGUUCUCGUUCGAUCACCGAAGUUAAGCAUCGUAGAGCCAGGUCAGCACUUAGAUGGGGGACCGCUUGGGAACACCUGGUACUGUAAG
rnacentral:rRNA from 1 species